GGCGUCUGUGUAGGUGCUGCAUGGUUGUCGUCAGCUCGUGCCGGUGAGGUGUCGGCUUAAGUGCCAUAACGAGCGCAACCCUUAUCAUUAGUUACUAACAGGUUAAGCUGAGGACUCUAGUGAGACUGCCACCGUAAGGUGUGAGGAAGGUGGGGAUGACGUCAAAUCAGCACGGCCCUUACGUCCGGGGCGACACACGUGUUACAAUGGGGGGUACAGAGGGUCGCUACCUGGUGACAGGAUGCUAAUCUCAUAAAGCCUCUCUCAGUUCGGAUCGAAGUCUGCAACUCGACUUCGUGAAGCUGGAUUCGCUAGUAAUCGCGCAUCAGCACGCCGCGGUGAAUACGUUCCCGGGCCUU
rnacentral:rRNA from 1 species